AGGAAUUGAGAUCAUGUUUGGUAC
rnacentral:sRNA from 1 species